rnacentral:lncRNA from 1 species
AGGGACCUACAGCGGGCGCGGCGCCGGCGGUCUGCGGCCGGCGGUGUAGACGCCCCUUCGCCGGGACCUGGCACCCGAAUCCGGCCUGCCGGGCCUCUUUGUGCAGCGCCUUGCUGACGCCCAGGGUUCUGAUGUAGAAGCCUACACCAGGGCCUGAGGUUGUGAAACUCAUGGCAGUCCACGCCUGAGAAGAGAAGGCCUGAAAGAGAAGGAAGAGCCCAUGGGACUUGCCACGGUUUUGACUUACAUCUGCAACUCCAAGGCUACAGGCAGGAAGUAAGAACAGUGCUCAAGUGGCAGCAGAUACUGACUAUGGCUUCAUUUCACAGCUUCACACAGCAGGGUAGCAGAAAACAAAGAAUGUAAGAUUGGACCCAGUUGCAGCUGUUCACCAACUCUGUGAUCUUCAAAAAGCCAUAUAGCUUCUCCAGACCUGUUAAUCAGGGAAGAAGCAGAUAACUGAAGGCUGGCUUUGAGAAGUUUCGAGGUCAUUAUUCUCUACUGUGUUACACUCAGCUGCUUUCACCUGGAAAAGCAGAGGAAUCAGGCUGUCUCCUGCAGCUGUCUUGGUCCAUUCUGCUGCCCAAGCAGUACACUUGGUUUCAGAUGGAAAUCUAGGAUCCCAAGCAUGGGUACAUUUGUCGGCAGCAUUUGGAAGUAUUUUUCGUCAUCAGGAUGGCAGUCAAUUUGCAAUUCAGUCAUCUCAGUGCAAGGUAGUUUGGCAAAAAGAUUAUGACACUUAAUGGAUUUUUUUCCUCUUUUAAAUCUGUUUACCCAGCAUUUUGUAGUAUAAUGCAAUGUAAUAACAUUGCAUUAUUUUGAGCAUAGUUUAGAAGCCAAGAAGAUGCUUUCAAACAGCUGACAUAAUUCAGUUAUGGCCCAGAUGUCCUGCCUUCCCCAUCACACAUUCAUAUUAAUGGUCUUAGAAAGCUGUUUCUGAGGCAACAGUUUCUUCCUCAAUAUCAUCCUACUGGGGAAAUUUUGGCAGUUGAUGUCUAAUGUUGAUUUUUUUUUCCUGAUUGAUUUUAAUUGUUCACUGGGCACUUUGGGGUAGAAUUGUUUUAAAAAUUUGGUUACUGGGAAAGCUAGACAAGCCUUUGCUAUGGUGAAAGAGACAGAAGGAAUAUAGAUAUAAUUUGUAAGUGGUUAUGCCAUUGGGCUUAAUGCUUUGCAUACAUUAUCUAGUUUGCAUCUCCUGAUCGCCCUUUAAGUUUGCUUACGGUAAAGCAUUAUUCCUUGCUUGGCAAUGCACAGAGAAAAAUUAUUUGCUGAAGGACCCUGCAAAUGAGGGACAGGAUCAGAGUUGGAACUGUAAACCCUGCCACUCCAUUUCAUGUGAUCUUCAUGGGUACAGCAGCUAUACCCUGCCCCAGCAAUGAGUAUGGUAGAGCCACAUUCAAAGGCGGACUUUGGGGUCAGCAUUCCUGAAAAGAGCUGCUUAAGUUUGCUUCUACAUCCAAAAACGAUGCAGUCACAGUCAACUAACACUGAGCUUGCUGGGCAUCUCCUGAACAGAAAUGUAUGUGGUGGUCCAUGUAGCAUGUAUGCGAUAUAAUUGGCCACCCACCUUUCCUUUUCACAUUAACAUUUAUCACAGAAACACAUUCAUUUGCUACAGGGAUAUUUCACAAUUUGGCUGAACUUUGAGAGAAGUGGGUGAGGAAAAGGUAGUUUCGUAACUAGUUUAUAUAUAAACCUAAAUUGUAGUGAGUACUCUUGUAAGUGGAGCAUCUUUUCUAUGGUAAUUAUAAAUGGCUGUUAGCCCCUUUGCACUAAAGCUAGGUGGGUGGUUUUGCCACAGAGGUAAAUUAUCUUUCGGGCGGUAUAACCAAACAAAUAAAAUAUAAAGUGAGAUUCAGGGCAUGUUCUGAAUACAGCAGUUAAUUAGGCAGCUAAGAAAACUGUAUUUUAGCCCCUCUGACUAUGUGAUUGGUAUUUUUUUAAAUUAAAAAAUGGAAAAUAAUAUUUUUAACAGGUUAUGAUAUGUCAGUCAUUUAAUCCUCACAGUAACUCUGUGGGGUAGGUAGGUACUGUUUCUAUCUCAUUUUACAGGUAAGGAAUCAAAACAGUGGGUAUACCCAGGUUGUAUAUCUAGAAAGUGAUAGAGCUGGGAUUUUAAACUUUAUAAUCUGAUUCCAGAAUCUCUACCUUUAAACACUAUGUUACCACUUACUUCUCUUCAAAUUUUAUUGAGCAUUAGAUGUUUCCAGUAUUUAGAAGUCAAAUGCUUCGUUUUUAAUAGGAACUUACACAGUCUUUUAUGUUUUUUUAUAGCCCUCAAUGUCACUGAUGUGGAUUCUCCCAAACUCGAUACUUUGUUUGUUUUUAUGUCCCCAUAAUAAGUCUUUAAGAAAACAGGGCAAGUGAGCUCAAAAUCAAAAGAAAACCCACCAACAGUGAAUGCAUUCAGGGCUAUUUCCAGGUCUUUCUUUUGAAGAAAGAUAAGACUCAGUCCAGAGAGCACAUCUGUGACACACCGUGCCUCUUGCCUUUGGUGCGUGGCAGUCAUCUUUGGCUCAUGCUGUACCUUAUUCUACAUUAGAAAACUCACUGUAUGUUGCUAAAUAAUUUUUUGAAAACAGGCAGAUUAAUAAAUGGACAUCUUAUUUAUUGCACCAUAAAA